rnacentral:rRNA from 1 species
CCUACGUGAGGCAGCAGUGAGGAAUAUUGGUCAAUGGGCGGGAGCCUGAACCAGCCAAGUCGCGUGAAGGAAGAAGGUACUUAGUAUUGUAAACUUCUUUUGUCGGGGAACAAAGGCGGAGACGCGUCUCCGGCUGAGAGUACCCGGAGAAAAAGCAUCGGCUAACUCCGUGCCAGCAGCCGCGGUAAUACGGAGGAUGCGAGCGUUAUCCGGAUUUAUUGGGUUUAAAGGGUGCGUAGGCGGGAUGCCAAAUCAGCGGUAAAAAUGCGGUGCUCAACGCCGUCGAGCCGUUGAAACUGGCGUUCUUGAGUGGGCGAGAAGUAUGCGGAAUGCGUGGUGUAGCGGUGAAAUGCAUAGAUAUCACGCAGAACUCCGAUUGCGAAGGCAGCAUACCGGCGCCCUACUGACGCUGAGGCACGAAAGCGUGGGUAUCGAACAGGAUUAGAUACCCCGGUAGUC